GUGAAUCAUCGAAUCUUUGAACGCACAUUGCGCCCUUUGGUAUUCCGAAGGGCAUGCCUGUUCGAGCGUCAUUUUAGCCCUCAAGCCCCGCUUGAUGUUGGGCGCGGUCCGGCAGGACCCGCCCGGAACUCGUUGGGCGGGACCGCGUGGCUCCGAGCGUAGCAAGAUCCGUCCCUCGCUCCGGAGGCCCCGCGGCCCUCGCCCGGGAACCGCCCCCACCGCUUGACCUCGGAUCAGGUAGGGAUACCCGCUGAACUUAAGCAUAUCAAUAAGCGGAGGA
rnacentral:misc_RNA from 1 species